CAUAGUCCAGCUGAGAAACGGCCUCACUUAUAGCCUUUGCUUAUUUACUCAUUCAUUCAUUCAUUCAUUCACUCUUGAUAUUUAUUUGCAGGAAGCCUUACAAAAGAUAGGAACUUCAAUGGGCUCUGGCCCCUGUCUUUGAGGAGCUCCAGCUGGUGGAAAAGACAGAUGAGGGGUCUUCAUCUAAUACAGGAAGACAGGCCCCUAUCCCUGCCUGGGGUAUCAAGGAAGGAUCCCUGGAGAAGGUGAUUCUUUGGUGGAAUGUGGACAGGAAAGGGGAGAGUGUUCUUAGCAGAGAGGCCUUCUGGAGAUAUGAGGUCAUAGGGUAACUGCAAGUGUUUGAGUUUGCUUGAGGGGAGGCUGAGAGAUCACCAGAGCCAGGUCCCAACAGGCCUCAAAUGCCAGGCUACAAAUUUGGCCUCUGUAUUGUGGGUGCCAACCAAGGAGCCCUCGAUGGUGUGUAACGCAGGGUAGAGGUGUGACCAAAUUUGAGAUUAGGAGGUCCCUUGUGCUGUUGAAUGGAGGAUAGGAUUGGAUAUGGUGAGAGUCCAGGUCAGAGACAGUAGGGUCCUGGUUCCGGGGCUGGCAUAGCAAGCCAAAUCAGAGUCCUUGAAUGCCAGGCUCACAGCAGCCUUUCAACUCUCUUCCACACACCUCUUCACAAGCCCUGACAACCAGAGUGCUAAAAAGACAGAUUGGGGUGGGGUGAAGGUUCUCAGAGAUGCCCUGGUCUGGUCUUAUCCUAGGGUCACAGCCAGGAAUCUGAGGCCCAGAGCACGCAAGAGGAUGGCCUAUAGCCCUGAAGAGACUCAGCUGGUGAGGGCUGGAGCUCCUACAGCACAAGAGUCUGGCCCUGCCCUGGUCCUUGUGCCCAGCACUGUUCCCUGGGGGCACUCCCCCUUCCAUACCAGCCUGUGUUUCUGCAAGGCACAGCUGAGGAGGACAAAACAGGAAGAAAUCAUAUGCCAUCUGCUCCAGGGAACUGUGGCCUGGGCUGGUCCCACCCUGCCCAAGGGAGUCAGAUGAUCUCAUCAGCACUGCUCAGCCAGGCCCCACUCCUGUGCCCAGCCCCACCAGCUUUCCCAGGGUGGGCUGGGUGAAGAGGCCCAGUUCUGGUCCCUGGAGCUUAUAGAUAUGAUGAAGCCUCCUCAGUGUCUGGGCUUGUGCUUGACUUGGACCCCACCCAGGGAAGGUCAUGGGCUUGGGGGAGUAUAUGGGACUACAUGGGAGAUACGGUUACUAUUUAAAGUAGUCAGUGCCAGGUGCCUGCCAUCCUUCAGUCUCACCCAC
rnacentral:lncRNA from 1 species